CACCGUCUAAGUCAGCAGAAUCAAGUCUCACGGCACUCAGGGCUUCCAUUUCUACCAGUUCUGUGGAUGUAUCAUCAGAAGAAGUCUCAAGAAAAACAAACACAAAAUCAUCAUUUACCUUGACCACAG